rnacentral:rRNA from 1 species
UACGUAGGGGGCAAGCGUUAUCCGGAUUUACUGGGUGUAAAGGGAGCGUAGACGGCGGUGCAAGCCAGAUGUGAAAGCCCGGGGCUCAACCCCGGGACUGCAUUUGGAACUGUGCUGCUAGAGUGUCGGAGAGGCAGGCGGAAUUCCCGGUGUAGCGGUGAAAUGCGUAGAGAUCGGGAGGAACACCAGUGGCGAAGGCGGCCUGCUGGGCUUUAACUGACGCUCAGGCACGAAAGCAUGGGUAGCAAACAGG